UAAGCGAACAGUGCGCCGACCUGCGUAGCAUGCACUGUAACUUGUAAGUUGUGCAGUGCGCUGUUCACGAUUUCAUACCACACAAAGGAAUGACUGCAUGCGUCGCUGAUCUCCACAAAAUUAGCAACGGCGGAGCAAGGAAGCCAACUAAGAAAGAAGUAAUGAUUAUCGGCAAUGGCUUCUAUUUCCUGCAUGAAAUGUUUUCCAGGAGGAAAUGUAUACUGGUCGCUCAUGCAAGCUUCAUUUCACACUAUGGCUUUUACUAUAAUAUAAAAUAGGAAUAACGAACACUGAGUGUUUGAGCCGGCUGUAUGCUGGAUAGCCUCCAACAACACUGACAGAAGUUAGUAGUGAAUGGUCGUGUUUGAGCCGACUGUAUGCUGGACAACCUCCAACAACACUGACAAAAGUUAGUAGUCAAUGGUCGUGUUUGAGCCGGCUGUAUGCUGGACAUCCUCCUAAAACAAUGACAGAAGUUAGUAGUGAAUGGUCGUGUUUGAGCCGACUGUAUGCUGGACAACUUCCAAUAACACUCACAAAAGUUAAUAGUCAAUGGUCAUGUUUGAGCCGGCUGUAUGAUGGACACCUCGAAAAACACUGACAAUAGUUAGUUGUCAAUGGUCGUGUUUGAGCCGGCUGUAUGCUGGACAUCCUCCAAAAACACUGACAAUAGUUAGUAGUGAAUGGUGUUUGAGCCAGCUGUAUGCUGGAAAGCCUCCAAAAAUGGUCGAUAAACCAGCCAGGGGCCUUGAGUAAUAGAAGUGACCUAGGCCUCUCUGAACCUCUAAGAGGCCUGUGACCAUCAAUAGAACUGUUGAUUCUCCGGUUAUUCUUCUCCUAUUCUUACUACGUUGUGACUACGCUUUGUUCCCAUCAGUCGUGAUGUGAUGACCCACCCCGGAUUUAGCGUGUUGGUCAAGUGCAAGUGGGACUUCUAUUGUCAAAGUGUCCGCAGUUGGUGGGAGAAGGUAUAUGGCGAUUCACGGUUCGCAGAGAAUUUCCGAAAUCCACCAAAUUUUCUAACGCACUUUUUGUCACUUAUAGUCUUUUAUAUUCUUUUGUGUGUGUUUUGCAGCCCGAGAUAAAGACGCCGUUUGCAAUCAGUUAUUUACACAACUUUUUCUUUCAAUGAAAUAUAAUUAAUUCACAGAACACAAAGAGAGAGAAAAAAAAAAGAAACUCACACUAACAAAAUCGGAAAAUCGAGCAAACAAUAACCUCAAAAUGAUGAUAGUUGACAGACACAUUUCUUAAAAAGAUUUCAGUGAUAGUUUACUCGGCAAAAUUACCAUCACUUCCACCACCUAUUAUGUUUGUUGUUGUUUUAAUUAGUUAAAGUGAUACAGUCAUGCGGGAGGUUGCUGGACAAUGGUGCCUUUGCAUUUACGGAACAAGCGGCCUAGAAUUUUUAGAUGAAGGCAGUAAGUAAAUACGUUAUUAAUAAAAAUGACUUAUCUGAAACAGA